CCUACGGGUGGCAGCAGUGAGGAAUAUUGGUCAAUGGGCGCGAGCCUGAACCAGCCAAGUCGCGUGAGGGAAGACGGCCCUACGGGUUGUAAACCUCUUUUGCCGGGGAGCAACGGGCGCCACGUGUGGCGCCACUGAGAGUACCCGGAGAAAAAGCAUCGGCUAACUCCGUGCCAGCAGCCGCGGUAAUACGGAGGAUGCGAGCGUUAUCCGGAUUUAUUGGGUUUAAAGGGUGCGCAGGCGGAGGUGCAAGUCAGCGGUAAAAUUGCGGGGCUCAACCCCGUACUGCCGUUGAAACUGCAUCCCUUGAGGGCGCGAGAAGUAUGCGGAAUGCGUGGUGUAGCGGGGAAAUGCAUAGAUAUCACGCAGAACUCCGAUUGCGAAGGCAGCAUACCGGCGCGCAACUGACGCUCAUGCACGAAAGCGUGGGUAUCGAACAGGAUUAGAUACCCUGGUAGUC
rnacentral:rRNA from 1 species